rfam:Heterocephalus glaber contig185719, whole genome shotgun sequence.
GACACAGAAUUUAAUUCAUUCUCCUACAGACUAACAUGAAGAUUCUUACUAAUUGUUCUGGUGAUUUUUUUUUCUCUUUCUAGAUUGUACACUAUGUCUUUGUGCGCCAUUUUUUGGACCCCCUACUCUUCUUGAAACUCUUCCCUGUUUAACUCUGGCUUCGGUACAAGGGUGUGGGGGGGGGCAGAGGUCUUUGUGAUGUAUUUCACUGAUGCUUCUAUACUGGGAGAUGCCUCCAAAUAUCAUUGCUUUCUUCCAGUUCUACUACACACAUGGGAGUUAUUUAGGGAGAACUUUCUGAGCUAUGGCCAA